rnacentral:rRNA from 1 species
UAUACGACCGUACCGCAAACCGACACUGGUGCGCGAGAUGAGUAUUCUAAGGCGCUUGAGAGAACUCAGGAGAAGGAACUCGGCAAAUUGACACCGUAACUUCGAAAGAAGGUGUGCCCUAUUAGUGUGUAGUGAACAACGAAGCAUGAAUGGGUUGCAAAAAAUCGGUGGCUGCGACUGUUUAUUAAAAACACAGCACUCUGCAAACACGAAAGUGGACGUAUAGGGUGUGACGCCUGCCCGGUGCUGGAAGAUUAAAUGAUGGGGUGCAAGCUCUUGAUUGAAGUCCCAGUAAACGGCGGCCGUAACAAUAACGGUCCUAAGGUGGCGAAAUUCCUUGUCGGGUAAGUUCCGACCUGCACGAAUGGCGUAACGAUGGCCACACUGUCUCCUCCUGAGACUCAGCGAAGUUGAAAUGUUUGUGAUGAUGCAAUCUCCCCGCGGAAAGACGGAAAGACCCCAUGAACCUUUACUGUAGCUUUGUAUUGGACUUUGAACAGAUCUGUGUAGGAUAGGUGGGAGGCUUUGAAGCAGGGUCGCUAGAUCUUGUGGAGCCAACGUUGAAAUACCACCCUGGUGUGUUUGAGGUUCUAACCUAGGUCCAUUAUCUGGAUCGGGGACAGUGCAUGGUAGGCAGUUUGACUGGGGCGGUCUCCUCCCAAAGCGUAACGGAGGAGUUCGAAGGUACGCUAGUUACGGUCGGACAUCGUGACGAUAGUGCAAUGGCAUAAGCGUGCUUAACUGCGAGACUGACAAGUCGAGCAGAUGCGAAAGCAGGACAUAGUGAUCCGGUGGUUCUGUAUGGAAGGGCCAUCGCUCAACGGAUAAAAGGUACUCUGGGGAUAACAGGCUGAUACCGCCCAAGAGUUCAUAUCGACGGCGGUGUUUGGCACCUCGAUGUCGGCUCAUCUCAUCCUGGGGCUGUAGCCGGUCCCAAGGGUAUGGCUGUUCGCCAUUUAAAGAGGUGCGUGAGCUGGGUUUAAAACGUCGUGAGACAGUUUGGUCCCUAUCUUCCGUGGGCGCUGCAGAUUUGAGGAAGCCUGCUCCUAGUACGAGAGGACCGGAGUGGACACACCUCUGGUGUAUCGGUUGUCACGCCAGUGGCAUUGCCGAGUAGCUAAGUGUGGAAGAGAUAACCGCUGAAAGCAUCUAAGCGGGAAACUCGUUUCAAGAUGAGAUCUGCCGGGGCCUUGAGCCCCCUAAAGAGUCGUUCAAGACCAGGACGUUGAUAGGUCAGGUGUGGAAGCCG